rnacentral:rRNA from 1 species
UUGGACAAUGGGGGAAACCCUGAUCCAGCCAUCCCGCGUGUAUUAUGAAGGCCUUCGGGUUGUAAAGUACUUUUGGCUGAGAAGAAAAUGUAUCCCCUAAUACGGGCUACUGAUGACGGUAUCUCCAGAAUAUGCACCUGCAAACUACGUCCCAGCAGCCGCGGUAAUACGUAGGGUGCAAGCGUUAAUCGGAAUUACUGGGCGUAAAGCGAGUGUAGGCGGUUCGGAAAGAAAGAUGUGAAAUCCCAGGGCUCAACCUUGGAACUGCAUUUUUAACUGCCGAGCUAGAGUAGGUCAGAGGGGGGUAGAAUUCCACGUGUAGCAGCGAAAUGCGUAGAUAUGUGGAGGAAUACCGAUGGCGAAGGCAGCCCCCUGGGAUAAUACUGACGCUCAGACACGAAAGCGUGGGGAGCAAACAGG